rnacentral:lncRNA from 1 species
UCGGCUCGGCCCUCGACCACAGUAAAGGAUCAGGCGCAGGCAGGAAAAUAGACAGAGAGCGAAGAGAGGAGAAGAUUUGGCCGCCGCGGUUGCAACCCUGCGCAUGCGCCGCUCGGGCUUCGGUCGCAUGGUCUGGGUGACCCGCUGGGGUACAUAGAUGACGUCCGUGGCACUUGAGCGAGGAGAAGACUCUCGGUGGAGGCCGAAUUGCUCACCGGUUCGUGGACAUCACCGUCGGGCCGCAUCUCACCAUGGGGGCAGGUUCUCCACUGCUCCACCGUCGGUAAAAUACUCCUAGAAUUAUUCUGGGUUGAUUCCGCUUCGCGUUUUUGCUACUUCGAUUGGGGUUCGGUCGUCGGGGUGUUGGUUUCGCGGGCAUCAGUGAGCUAUCGGGGCGGAGCUCUUCUUCCGCCGCCCUGUCGUGCAGUCGGGAGCAGGAAGAAGCAUGGAGUCCAUUGAUCUAGUGAUCAACGGUGGCUAUAGGAAGAUGAAGUGGAUGAACCAGGACCGUUAGAUGGUGAUCCAGCGUGCGGAACUUGUGAUCGAAUCUGGGCGGUCGAUGUUAAAUCGUGCGGUCGAUGCUGGAUACCGAUUCGGGUUGGAGACAAUCUAAUCUGGGCCACGAGCUUCAGAUCCAACGGCCUGAAUUCGCAGAUACCCGUUCGGCCAUGACUUUUGCUAAAGAGCCCCCGGGGAAUGGUCAAACUAACCCGCCAUCUAUGCUGGUUCAAACAUAAUUCCAACCGGGACCUUUUAUUUGCAGAUUUAACCCUGUGCUUAUGAGAAAUAGUGGCCCUAGCCAGAAAGUUUAUGAAAUAGUUAUAUUAAUGAUUUUUGUUAUAAAAAUAAUCCAAGAAACUUGCUUAAUUUAUAUUAAAUCCAUUUUAACUCCUUUUUAACCCGUUCCAGUUGCAUUAAUUUUGUUUCAAUAUUCUCUAUCAACUAGUAACACUGUUUAGCCAUGAAACAUGAAUUAAGAUUGUUCAUUUGGAUUAAUCUAUUCUAAGCACUAAAAUAAUUUCGAAAACUCAUAACUCAAUAACAAUAGCUCCGUAUUGAGUGGUUCUUCUUUCUACGAUCUCGUUACGCAGUGUAGAUUAUUAUUAUGCAGUUUGUGCUUAUGUUUGGUGUAAUGUUAAUUUUGCCUAUACCAAUAUUUGUUUGUAUUGCUACGUUUAGCGAGAGGUCACGAGUCAUCUGAAAAGCAAGUUGGUACCUGGAAUCUCAAGUGCCAGGCAAGUUGUGCCCUUGAUCACUUCUUUUUACCCAGUCAUGUUCUAAUUAAUCAUAAUGAUCUGCAUAGGUUAAUUUUGAUGGGACCCAAUAGGAUACCCUAGUUUGACUAUCUUUAUACCUUGUUCACCACUGAAUUUUUGGGUAGUACCUGCUAUUGCUUUAUGUGGUUUUGGGUAUAGAGAUACACAUUACUAUUCAUGAUUAUAUUUUAUUAUCAGUUGUUAUUUACUGUUCAUGUUAAGAUCAUUAUGUUAAUUGGAACAUGGAGAACCACCCGGGAAAACAGUGCUACCACAAGGGUUUAAUGGGACGCCCUUGGCUGAUUAAUUAGGAAAGCUAGUGGAUGACUAUCUUACCCGAAAGGGGCAAGGGCAGUAGGGGAGUGGUCAGUGUAGGGAGGCCCUUGGGAUGAUUUUGCUGCGAUGGCGGUCAUGCGAGGGAUUCCUGCAUUGAAGCUUCCUAUAAACUGUAGCGGGUUUUCUGAAGCUAGUGGAACUUUGUAAAGGCCUCGUAGUGUUACCCUGCCUCGCCUCCUCGGUAGAGGUGUAUGGGAUUGGCCGUCUCUUGGCAGAUGGGAAACAUGACUUGUGGGUAAAGAUGCGCAACCUCUGCAGAGUGUAAAACUGGUAUACUAGCCGUGCUCACGGUCAUGAGCAGCUCGGACACUCACAUGAUUAAAUUAUGGAACUUAAACUCAAUUUGACAUAUGCAUUGCAUCGCAGGUGAGGUUGUUACUUUUGUUCUACUACUUAAUUGGACUGGUAUUUACUUAUACUUAGUAAUUGCUAAUAAAAUUUUGACCAACUUUAAAAGCAAUGCUCAGCUCUAACCAUCCUCUUUGGUAAGCCUUACACUUCACGUGAGCUCCCACCUUUGGCGAGUUCAUGCACAUUAUUCCCCACAACUUGUUGAGCGAUGAACGUAUGUGAGCUAACUCUUGCUGUCUCACACCCCCCCACAGGUCAAGAUCAGGUACCACAGGAUGAGGCGCAUGGAGGAUGCUGCAAUGUGUUCGUGAGAGUUCUAGGCCGUCGUCUCCCAGUCAACUUUGGGUUGCUGGACCGUUAUCUCCUUAUAAUGUAAUUAUUUAUUUAUUCUGUAUAGAACUCCUAUUAUAUAGUAAAGAUGUGACAUUCGAUCC